UACAGAGGUCUCAAGCGUUGUUCGGAUUCAUUGGGCGUGAAGGGUGUGUAGGUGGCGCUGUAAGUCGGGUGUGAAAUCUCGGGGCUUAACUCCGAAACUGCAUUCGAUACUGCGGUGCUUGAGGACUGGAGAGGAGACUGGAAUUCAUGGUGUAGCAGUGAAAUGCGUAGAGAUCAUGAGGAAGACCAGUGGCGAAGGCGGGUCUCUGGACAGUUACUGACGCUGAGGCACGAAGGCCAGGGGAGCAAACGGG
rnacentral:rRNA from 1 species